GGUCCUAUGGCUCAGAUGGCAAAGCGCCUGCCUACUAAGCAGGAGAUCACGAGUUCGAGUCUCGUUUGGAUCU
rnacentral:tRNA from 1 species